CUUUCUGAGUCUGGGUUACCUCACUCAGGAUGAUUUUUUCUGGAUCCAUCCAUUUGCCUGCAAACCUCAUGAUGUAGUACAUAGCUUCAAUGAAGGGGCCCCAGUGUCUGUAGUAGAUUCGAGAUUUCAGACCAAAGGCAGAGAAAGAAACUUGUCUAGUAGUUCAAGAGAGCAAUGACCAUGACUAAAACCAGCACGAUGACAGUAAGGAUGGAGUAUACAGCAUAGAGUAAUGCUAGGUGCUUGAGUUGACUCUUGGGAAUACUGACUUCAGCAUAGAAAUUAAGGAUGGUUGAUGUCAAUAAGUGAGGAAACCACAGGCAGGAACAAGUUUAUGUGAGAAAGAAUUUAAUAUGGAACAUGUGUAACUAGAGGGGUGUGUGAAACAUCCACAUGCAGAUACAUGGACAGACACUGUGAAGAUGAGUUUGAAGCUCAGAGAAGGAGCAUGGCCAGUGAUACAGACACAUUUAUGGCUUACAACUUGAGAGACUGGCAUCAAAUACAUGCUUAGUUACUUUCAGUUCUCCAAAUAACCUCAUUUAAAUAAUUAAAAUAUCUGAUCAUAUACAAUAGUUGAAAUUUCAAAUGGGCAUUUAAGUCGAAGCUCUUGCCCUCUCACAUUUAAGAUAUGCAAAAGAUAGAACAUGGGAGGAAAGUUAAGGAGGGUAUAUCUCUGGCUCUCAUGUUGGAUGUCAGUGUAAUCUGAUAUUGGAUUGAAUUGUUCGGAAUGUUUCAAAGUGACUCUUCCCCUUGUGGACCCUUAAUGGGUUCACUGGAGAACUGUCUAUGAGCUACACUGACUUUAUUUCCCUUGAUGUCAGUAAUUUCCAAUUUUUUUAUGACUUUUCCCCACCCCCAUCCCUCUGUUAUUUCACUCAGUACAUUUUUAUCACACUAAUCUAAGUUGUCCCAUCCACUUCAAGUUCUGCUUAGGGCUAGCAUGUUAGUCUGAAAUGUAGUUGACAUCUAUUCACUUGGGACUUUAAGUAAAAUGAAUGUAGAAUGAAUGCCAUUUUCAUGCCCUAUAUUAAAUACACAUGAGUAACUAUACUUGAGUUGGUAAUUGAGAUUAUGAAGUCACACAACACCCCCGACCCAUGCUCCUCUCUACCAGCAAGAAUGCUUAUAAUGGAAGAUAAGUCGAGUGGGGACAGAUUACUGUAGGAAACUAUCAUUUGGAAAGUGAAAAAAGGCAGAAAAACCACAACCAUGGAGGUGUAGGAGAACCAUGAAAGUAAACAUCAUAGAAUUAACAAAGAUGUCACUAUAAAGAGGACAUAAUCAGACUAUAAGAUGCUAUGAAGAAGUACAGGUAGGAAAGGGCUAGUAUUUAGGUGAGAAAUUUGUAUUUAGCAAUGAGGGUAUCGUUUGCUGUUUGAUAUACAAAUCUUUUUAAAUGUGCGGAGAAAUGGCAAGGGGCUUGAGGAAAGGAAGAUAACAGACUAAGGAUGUGUAAGAUCAAAGUGAAGUCACAGACAAGGGAAGGAAGACAGGCUUUAAUGAAAGCUGAUCCAAAGAUUCCAGAAAUGUAGUGGAUGACUGAUGGUGAAAACUGAAAGCUGAGUGUCUGCCCUUUGGGCACCUUCACAGCCUCAUAGAAGAUGGGAAGGAAGGGGAUCAGGAGCAUAGUAAUGAGGUCUCCACUGAUGAGAAGAAGGACUGUCUCAUUCUCCAACACAGGAGUGACACAGAAGCACGCAAUCUGAUGCCUUUGUUCAUAGCACAGAAGCUGAAGGUGGCAGAAAGUUGGAAGAGAUCACAGUGGAUUGCUUGAAUUUUCUCACUGAAGUUGGGGAUGGAGCUCUUGAGUGUGGAAGCUCAUCUUGAAGAAGGAAAGCAAUGAGAAGAAAGGAUUGGUUUCCACAAAUGAAGCAGCCUAUAACACGGUGAUGAAGCGGUUCAAGGUGAGUAAUAGUAGUGUCAUAAUGAAUUGAAACUGGCAAGUUCCCCCAAAUUAGAAGUAUUGGAAGGAGAGGCCCCUGUGGGUUAGACUGUCUUGCAGGUAGGAUUCAAAUGCUUUGAUUCUCCCUAAUCUGACAGUGGUAAGGAGCUUGAAGAAGGAUAGAAAUUGUCUUAGAGUCCAUCAGAAUUAUACCCAUCCGUCAUUUUCAUGAGGAAAUGAGCAAAGUAAGACUUAGACUACAAGCAAAACUGAAAAUUCAUAUUCACUUCUUCAUGUAUCAUCCACCCGAUAUAGAGUCAUUGAGUCUGCUCAAGUAUUCUGCUGCGUUGGAGCUGUCAAGAUUAUUGCUUAUUUCUGUAUCACGCUGGCACACGUUUCACUAAUCUUCAAGGCCAGGAAAUGAUUGUUUAAUUUACUGAUCAAAUAGUCCAGGUAGACUUGCUUGUAUACAUUUAUAUAAA